rnacentral:rRNA from 1 species
GAUGAACGCUGGCGGCGUGCCUAAUACAUGCAAGUCGAGCGAACAGACGAGGAGCUUGCUCCUCUGACGUUAGCGGCGGACGGGUGAGUAACACGUGGAUAACCUACCUAUAAGACUGGGAUAACUUCGGGAAACCGGAGCUAAUACCGGAUAAUAUAUUGAACCGCAUGGUUCAAUAGUGAAAGACGGUUUUGCCGUCACUUAUAGAUGAUCCGCGCCGCAUUAGCUAGUUGGUAAGGUAACGGCUUACCAAGGCAACGAUGCGUAGCCGACCUGAGAGGGUGAUCGGCCACACUGGAACUGAGACACGGUCCAGACUCCUACGGGAGGCAGCAGUAGGGAAUCUUCCGCAAUGGGCGAAAGCCUGACGGAGCAACGCCGCGUGAGUGAUGAAGGUCUUCGGAUCGUAAAACUCUGUUAUUAGGGAAGAACAAAUGUGUAAGUAACUAUGCACGUCUUGACGGUACCUAAUCAGAAAGCCACGGCUAACUACGUG